rnacentral:piRNA from 1 species
GUAGGCAUGAAUGAAGGAAAGUG